UUUAUGGCGAGUUUGAUCCUGGCUCAGAGCGAACGCUGGCGGCGUACUUAACACAUGCAAGUCGAACGGGGAUCGUCGGGUUAGCAAUAAUUCGGCGG
rnacentral:ncRNA from 1 species